AGAAAUAUGUCUGAAAAAAGAGUUACUUUGAUAGAGUAAAUCAUAG
rnacentral:tRNA from 1 species